rnacentral:rRNA from 1 species
GCUCCAAUAGCGUAUAUUAAAGUUUGUUGCAGUUAAAAAAGCUCGUAGUUGGAUUUCUGGUGGGAGGGAACCGUCCGAUCUCAGAUUGGUGCGUGUUCCUCUCCGGCCAUCCUUGAGUCUAACCUCCUUGGCAUUAAGUUGUCGAGGUGGGGAUACUCAUCGUUUACUGUGAAAAAAUUAGAGUGUUCAAAGCAGGCUUA